rnacentral:rRNA from 1 species
GGGUUCGAUUCUGGCUCAGGAUGAACGCUGGCGGCAGGCUUAAUACAUGCAAGUUGAACGGUAACAUGUUGUAGCAAUACGAUGAUGACGAGUGGCGCACGGGUGCGUAACACGUGUGUAACCUACCUUAUACAGGAACAUAACGUUGAGAAAUCGGCGCUAACAUUCCAUAAUAUUAUUUGUAGGCAUCUAUGAAUAAUUAAAACUCCGGUGGUAUAAGAUGGGCACGCGUUCCAUUAGCUAGUUGGUAAGGUAACGGCUUACCAAGGCAACGAUGGAUAGGGGUUCUGAGAGGAUAAUCCCCCACACUGGAACUGAGACACGGUCCAGACUCCUACGGGAGGCAGCAGUAAGGAAUAUUGGGCAAUGGAGGCAACUCUGACCCAGCCAUGCCCGCGUGCAGGAAGACGGCCCUAUGGGUUGUAAACUGCUUUUAAUAGGGAUUAAAGUCGACUACGUGUAGUUGUUUGCAAGUACCUAUAGAAUAAGCAUCGGCUAACUCCGUGCCAGCCGCGGC